UACGUAGGGGGCAAGCGUUGUCCGGAAUCAUUGGGCGUAAAGAGCGUGUAGGCGGCCCGAUAAGUCCGCUGUGAAAGUCCAGGGCUCAACCCUGGGAUGCCGGUGGAUACUGUCGGGCUCGAGUCCGGAAGAGGAGUGUGGAAUUCCUGGUGUAGCGGUGAAAUGCGCAGAUAUCGGGAAGAACACCCGUGGCGAAGGCGGCUCUCUGGGACGGUACUGACGCUGAGACGCGAAAGCGUGGGGAGCGAACAGG
rnacentral:rRNA from 1 species